GUCCCUGUAGCGCAAUGUAUAGCGCUUUGGCUUUCUAAUCCAAAGGUUGUGGGUUCGAAUCCCACCUGAGAUG
rnacentral:tRNA from 1 species